rnacentral:rRNA from 1 species
AUUGAACGCUGGCGGUAUGCUUAACACAUGCAAGUCGAACGGCAGCACGGUCUGUAGUAAUACAGAUGGGUGGCGAGUGGCGGACGGGUGAGUAAUACGCAGGAAUCUGCCCUAUAGAGGGGGAUAACUCGAGGAAACUCGAGCUAAUACCGCAUAGUCUCUACGGAGUAAAGCUGGGGCAACUCGGCGCUAUAGGAGGAGCCUGCGUCUGAUUAGCUAGUUGGUGGGGUAAAGGCCUACCAAGGCGACGAUCAGUAGGUGGUCUGAGAGGAUGAUCACCCACACUGGGACUGAGACACGGCCCAGACUCCUACGGGAGGCAGCAGUGGGGAAUAUUGGACAAUGGGGGCAACCCUGAUCCAGCAAUACCGCGAGUGUGAAGAAGGCCUUAGGGUUGUAAAGCACUUUAGGCGGGGAAGAAGGUAUGUAUUUUAAGAGAUAACAUAUUUGACGGUACCCGCAGAAUAAGCACCGGCUAACUCUGUGCCAGCCGCCGCAGUAA